AAAUUGAAGAGUUUGAUCAUGGCUCAGAUUGAACGCUGGCGGCAGGCCUAACACAUGCAAGUCGAGCGGAAACGAGUUAUCAGAACCUUCGGGGAACGAUAAUGGCGUCGAGCGGCGGACGGGUGAGUAAUGCCUAGGAAAUUGCCCUGAUGUGGGGGAUAACCAUUGGAAACGAUGGCUAAUACCGCAUGAUGCCUUUGGGCCAAAGAGGGGGACCUUCGGGCCUCUCGCGUCAGGAUAUGCCUAGGUGGGAUUAGCUAGUUGGUGAGGUAAGGGCUCACCAAGGCGACGAUCCCUAGCUGGUCUGAGAGGAUGAUCAGCCACACUGGAACUGAGACACGGUCCAGACUCCUACGGGAGGCAGCAGUGGGGAAUAUUGCACAAUGGGCGCAAGCCUGAUGCAGCCAUGCCGCGUGUGUGAAGAAGGCCUUCGGGUUGUAAAGCACUUUCAGUCGUGAGGAAGGUAGUGUAGUUAAUAGCUGCAUUAUUUGACGUUAGCGACAGAAGAAGCACCGGCUAACUCCGUGCCAGCAGCCGCGGUAAUACGGAGGGUGCGAGCGUUAAUCGGAAUUACUGGGCGUAAAGCGCAUGCAGGUGGUUUGUUAAGUCAGAUGUGAAAGCCCGGGGCUCAACCUCGGAAUUGCAUUUGAAACUGGCAGACUAGAGUACUGUAGAGGGGGGUAGAAUUUCAGGUGUAGCGGUGAAAUGCGUAGAGAUCUGAAGGAAUACCGGUGGCGAAGGCGGCCCCCUGGACAGAUACUGACACUCAGAUGCGAAAGCGUGGGGAGCAAACAGGAUUAGAUACCCUGGUAGUCCACGCCGUAAACGAUGUCUACUUGGAGGUUGUGGCCUUGAGCCGUGGCUUUCGGAGCUAACGCGUUAAGUAGACCGCCUGGGGAGUACGGUCGCAAGAUUAAAACUCAAAUGAAUUGACGGGGGCCCGCACAAGCGGUGGAGCAUGUGGUUUAAUUCGAUGCAACGCGAAGAACCUUACCUACUCUUGACAUCCAGAGAACUUUCCAGAGAUGGAUUGGUGCCUUCGGGAACUCUGAGACAGGUGCUGCAUGGCUGUCGUCAGCUCGUGUUGUGUGAAAUGUUGGGUUAAGUCCCGCAACGAGCGCAACCCUUAUCCUUGUUUGCCAGCGAGUAAUGUCGGGAACUCCAGGGAGACUGCCGGUGAUAAACCGGAGGAAGGUGGGGACGACGUCAAGUCAUCAUGGCCCUUACGAGUAGGGCUACACACGUGCUACAAUGGCGCAUACAGAGGGCAGCCAACUUGCGAAAGUGAGCGAAUCCCAAAAAGUGCGUCGUAGUCCGGAUUGGAGUCUGCAACUCGACUCCAUGAAGUCGGAAUCGCUAGUAAUCGUGGAUCAGAAUGCCACGGUGAAUACGUUCCCGGGCCUUGUACACACCGCCCGUCACACCAUGGGAGUGGGCUGCAAAAGAAGUAGGUAGUUUAACCUUCGGGGGGACGCUUACCACUUUGUGGUUCAUGACUGGGGUGAAGUCGUAACAAGGUAGCGCUAGGGGAACCUGGCGCUGGAUCACCUCCUUA
rnacentral:rRNA from 1 species